rnacentral:tRNA from 1 species
GCACCGAUGAUGUAGUGGUAGCAUGCCAGCCUUCCAAGCUGAUCGCCAGGGUUCAAAUCCCUGUCGGUGCA